UACGUAGGGUGCGAGCGUUAAUCGGAAUUACUGGGCGUAAAGCGUGCGCAGGCGGUCUCGCAAGUCCGAUGUGAAAUCCCCGGGCUCAACCUGGGAACUGCGUUGGAAACUACGAGGCUGGAGUACGGCAGAGGGGGGUGGAAUUCCACGUGUAGCAGUGAAAUGCGUAGAUAUUGGAAGGAACACCAGUGGCGAAGGCGACUAUCUGGGCAGAUACUGACACUGAGACACGAGAGCAUGGGGAGCAAACAGG
rnacentral:rRNA from 1 species